GAUGAACGCUGGCGGCGUGCUUAAUACAUGCAAGUCGAACGGAGUUUAGAUGAAACCUAGUGAUUCUAAACUUAGUGGCGGACGGGUGAGUAACGCGUGGGUAACCUGCCCUGUACAGGGGGAUAACGGUUGGAAACGACCGCUAAAACCGCAUAACAUCGGAAUACCGCAUGAUGUUCCGGUCAAAUAUUCAUAGGUACAGGAUGGGCCCGCGUCUGAUUAGCUAGUUGGCGAGGUAACGGCCCACCAAGGCGACGAUCAGUAGCCGUACUGAGAGGUAGAACGGCCACAUUGGGACUGAGACACGGCCCAAACUCC
rnacentral:rRNA from 1 species